UACGUAGGGUGCAAGCGUUGUCCGGAAUUAUUGGGCGUAAAGAGCUCGUAGGCGGUUUGUCGCGUCGGCUGUGAAAACCUGGGGCUCAACCCCGGGCCUGCAGCCGAUACGGGCAAACUAGAAUUCGGUAGGGGAGACUGGAAUUCCUGGUGUAGCGGUGAAAUGCGCAGAUAUCAGGAGGAACACCGGUGGCGAAGGCGGGUCUCUGGGCCGAUAUUGACGCUGAGGAGCGAAAGCGUGGGGAGCAAGCAGG
rnacentral:rRNA from 1 species